AUGUUUCCCCUAACAAAAGAAAACUACUCCAUAGUUAAAUCAAAAGAACACAAGAAAUAAAGAGAAAAAUUCAUGCUUAAAUCUAGAAAUUACAAAAAUAGAAAUCAAACUCUGAAAUCCAAUAUCUGCUUCUAGCUUCUUGCUCCACACCACUAAGGAAGAAGAAACUUUUCUUUCUCUUUAUGUUUUAAGAUUUUUUUCUAUGUUCUUAUACGAUCCCUACAUUCUAAUCAUUCCUAAUAAUAUAUCCUCAAAAGCGUA
rnacentral:lncRNA from 1 species